CCUACGGGAGGCAGCAGUAGGGAAUCUUUCACAAUGGGCGAAAGCCUGAUGGAGCAACGCCGCGUGGAGGAUGAAGGCCUUCGGGUUGUAAACUGCUUUUAUAAGCGAGAAAUAUGAUGGUAACUUAUGAAUAAGGAUCGGCUAACUACGUGCCAGCAGCCGCGGUCAUACGUAGGAUCCGAGCAUUAUCCGGAGUGACUGGGUGUAAAGAGUUGCGUAGGUGGCAUAAUAAGUAGCUAGUGAAAUCUGGUGGCUCAACCAUUCAGACUAUUAGCUAAACUGUUAAGCUCGAGACCGUUAGGGGUAACUGGAAUUUCUAGUGUAGGAGUGAAAUCCGUAGAUAUUAGAAGGAACACCAAUAGCGUAGGCAGGUUGCUGGGACGGUUCUGACACUAAGGCACGAAAGCGUAGGGAGCAAACGGGAUUAGAUACCCGAGUAGUC
rnacentral:rRNA from 1 species